rnacentral:rRNA from 1 species
UACGUAGGGUGCAAGCGUUGUCCGGAAUUAUUGGGCGUAAAGAGCUCGUAGGCGGUUUGUCGCGUCGGCUGUGAAAACCCGGAGCUCAACUCCGGGCCUGCAGUCGAUACGGGCGGACUUGAGUGUUGCAGGGGAGACUGGAAUUCCUGGUGUAGCGGUGAAAUGCGCAGAUAUCAGGAGGAACACCGGUGGCGAAGGCGGGUCUCUGGGCAACUACUGACGCUGAGGAGCGAAAGCGUGGGGAGCGAACAGG